GGCGGCGUGCCUAAUCAUGCUAGUCUCGCGGACUCCUGCAGGAGUGAUCGGCGGACAGGUGAGGAACACGUGGGCGAUCUGCCCAUUGGACUGGAGUAACGCCUGGAAACCGGUGCUAAGGCCAGAUAGACCCCUAAGAGGCCUCUCUUGUGUGGGACAGAUGCUGCGGCUUCGCCCGUGGAGGAGCCCGCGGCGCAUUAGCUGGUUGGCGGGGUAACUGCCCACCUAGGCUGACGAUGCUUAUCCGACCUGAUAGGGUGAACGGCCACACUGGGACUGAGACACGGGCCACACUCCUACAGGAGGCACCAUUAGGGAAUCUUCCGUACUGGGCGCACGCCUGACUGAACAACGCCUCCUAAGCGAAGAAGGCCUUCGGGUUGUACAACUUAGUCACUCCGGAAGAGCGAGUGGGAGAGUGAAUGCUCCCACCGAGACGGUACCGUGAGAGGAAGCCUCGGCUAACUCGGUGCCACCGGCCGCGGUAGU
rnacentral:rRNA from 1 species